CGAUAGGUCAUAAUAUCUGGAACGAUGUAUGGCUUAAAUCUAUAUGGCCCCUGGAUUGGACUGCGGCCGAUCAGGCUGUUGGUGAGGUAAUGGCCCACCAAACCUAAAACCGGUACGGGCUCUGAGAGGAGAAGCCCGGAGAUGGGCACUGAGACAAGGGCCCAGGCCCUAUGGGGCGCAGCAGGCGCGAAAACUCUGCAAUAAGCGAAAGCUUGACAGGGUUAUUCUGAGUGAUUUCCGCUAAGGAAAUCUUUUGGCACCUCUAAAAAUGGUGCAGAAUAAGGGGUGGGCAAGCCUGGUGUCAGCCGCCGCGGUAAUACCAGCACCCCGAGUGGUCGGGACGAUUAUUGGGCCUAAAGCAUCCGUAGCCGGUUCUACAAGUCUUCCGUUAAAUCCACCUGCUUAACAGAUGGGCUGCGGAGGAUACUAUGGAGCUAGGAGGCGGGAGAGGCAAGCGGUACUUAGUGGGUAGGGGUAAAAUCCGUUGAUCCAUUGAAGACCACCAGUGGCGAAGGCGGCUUGCCAGAACGCACUCGACGGUGAGGGAUGAAAGCUGGGGGAGCAAACCGGAUUAGAUACCCGGGUAGUCCCAGCUGUAAACGAUGCAGACUCGGUGAUGAAUAGGCUUCGUGCCUCUUCAGUGCCGCAGGGAAGCCGUUAAGUCUGCCGCCUGGGGAGUACGGUCGCAAGA
rnacentral:rRNA from 1 species